UUCUUCCUGCCUCUGGAGGAGAGGUGGCUCCAAGUGCUGCAUAGCGCUGUCCUGCUCUUCACUUCGGCAGAGCCGAAAGCAUGAGUGUCUUCGUCUUGUCAAGUUGGGGAAAGUAUUGAAAUAGAGAUAGUAUGGCCACCCUCUGAAGAACUCUACGUAGUCUCAGAGUUGUGUGUGGUGACAGAAGUGACUUUUGGAAGAAGGAAUUUAGAUCCACCUUCUCUGGUGAGUGUCUGGUGCACCCAGGACCGACUCCCCUUCCCUCCCUCAUCCUGUUCCUCAGCCCACUUCCUGAGCUAAAGAGCACAUUUCAAACUCUGUCCCACCUCUGUCUGUCAGCGGUGUCACUCCAUCUGCUUGCAACCUGUCCUUCUAUGGGACCACACCAGCCUUCCCAAAAUGUUCCAGGGGUCUUACAUACCGAUGAAAAUUCACCUGUCACGUACCCAAACCCUUUUAGCUCCUUUAGGAAGUUAUUUAUUUUUUCUGGCCUUGGGGUCAAACCCACGGCCAUGUUUUCUUUUUUUUGUCU